GAUGAACGCUGGCGGCGUGCCUAAUACAUGCAAGUCGAGCGAACGGACGAGAAGCUUGCUUCUCUGAUGUUAGCGGCGGACGGGUGAGUAACACGUGGAUAACCUACCUAUAAGACUGGGAUAACUUCGGGAAACCGGAGCUAAUACCGGAUAAUAUUUUGAACCGCAUGGUUCAAAAGUGAAAGACGGUCUUGCUGUCACUUAUAGAUGGAUCCGCGCUGCAUUAGCUAGUUGGUAAGGUAACGGCUUACCAAGGCAACGAUGCAUAGCCGACCUGAGAGGGUGAUCGGCCACACUGGAACUGAGACACGGUCCAGACUCCUACGGGAGGCAGCAGUAGGGAAUCUUCCGCAAUGGGCGAAAGCCUGACGGAGCCACGCCGCGUGAGUGAUGAAGGUCUUCGGAUCGUAAAGCUCUUUUAUUAGGGAAGAACAUAUGUGUAAGUAACUGUGCACAUCUUGACGGUACCUAAUCAGAAAGCCACGGCUAACUACGUG
rnacentral:rRNA from 1 species